AAUGAACGUUGGCGGCGUGGAUUAGGCAUGCAAGUCGUACGCAUAGCUUCGGCUAUGAGUGGCGCAAGGGUGAGUAAUGCGAAGGUAACCAACCCUGGUGUUGGGCAUAGCCGCGGGAAACUGCGGGUAAUUCCCAGCGACGUCGCGAGAUGGCAUCAUCUUGCGACCAAAGGUGUGAUUCCGCUCUAGGACGGGCCUUCGUGGUAUUAGGUAGUUGGUGAGGUAAUGGCUCACCAAGCCGACGAUGCCUACCGGGUGUGAGAGCAUGACCCGGCACACUGGAACUGAGACACUGUCCAGACACCUACGGGUGGCUGCAGUCGAGAAUCUUCGGCAAUGGGCGAAAGCCUGACCGAGCGACGCCGCGUGAGGGAAGAAGGCCUUCGGGUUGUAAACCUCUUUCGUAGAGGAGAAAGGGGCCGUGCAGAGCGGUCCUUGACCUAUUCUAGGAAGAAGCCUGGGCUAAGUUCGUGCAAGCCG
rnacentral:rRNA from 1 species